UUUUGCAGUCCAGUCCCCUAUAAUGAAAAGGAUAUCUUUUUUGGGUGUUAGUUCUAAAAGGUCUUGUAGGUCUUCAUAGAACCGUUGAACUUCAGCUUUUUCAGCGUUACUGGUUGGGGCGUACACUUGGAUUACUGUUAUAUUGAACGACUUGCCUUGGAAAC